ACGGCUGGCAGAAGGGCGUUAGCUCGAAUUUCAGGUCAAAAAUCGAUUUUUGAUAUUUCAUGUCAUUUAAUAGAGUUUUCAAAGCUCUUUCAAAUGAUGUGAUCGAGAUGGCAUAAAACGAAGUAAAUGAUUACGUAAUCGACAAUAGUAAAAGGGCGUUAGCACAAACUGUCAGAUAUCGCGCUAAGCAGAAGGGCGUAAGCCCUCUACGCCCUUUGCAUAUUAGGCGCGAGCGUAAAUUUUGAUCAAAGCAGAAGGGCGUUAUCGCGAAGCUGACGUCUGCUAGGCCUGUGGUAAGCAAAAUAACUGCUUCUUCUUUUAAAUAACGUGUUGUAAAUGUCAAAUUAUCUGGAAGAUUUGAUAUAUUUGGUCACACUGAUUACAUUAUGAUUAGGAUCGUUAGAAUAUUUUGAUUUUAUCGGGUAAAAAUGCGAUGUAUAAUGAUGAUAAUUAAUACGUUGCCCCAUGUAUUGAUUUAUAUGGUAUCACGGGCAAGUAGAGUCAUUACGCAUUAUCAUUGACUCUCUGUGCUGGGGUGGAUGUUGAGUGGCAUUGACUCUAUGCUUUGCUGGAGUGGGUUGCAAUGGAAGCGCUCCCUUGAAGUUGAAGGCCUCCAAAUAUGAAGUAGAUCUAGGUCUAGCAACUAGCAUCAAGCCCCAAGUCAAGGGUGAUUUUCGAAAGUGCGUUCCACGCAGUUACUAGCUGUCCCGAGGGAAAACGUCAGUUCCGGUAGAGUUGGGUGCGGGAUGUGAUGUUGUUUGUGUGAGGUUGUUCAGUUAGAUCAAGAUACAUGUACAGUAUGUAGGAGUAGUCGUCAAUCUAUAGAUCUAUGUGCCGUGAUAAUCAUUUCACUGUUUUUUCGCUCAUGGAAAGACGAGACAAGACAACAAUUUGUAAAGACAGUGGUACGGAUUGAAAUUUGAAAGCAUGCUUAGCGUAGAUCUACAAAAUUAGUUAAAUAAAUGCCAGAUUGUUAGUAGUAUACCGUAUUCAGGUAUUAUUAUACCAAUUGCAACAGUGCAAGCAGAUUCUAGACUCUAGAGGUCUAAUACUUUUUAUUGUUCAAAUUAAAUUUGCAAAAAUGAUAGUAGUCUACAGAUAUGAAAGGAGAAUGGUUUGAAUUUUGAUACCUUUGUCUUUUAGUGGCUUUGUUCAAAUUUAAUCAAGGGCAAUCUCAAAUGAUAGUUGCAUGUCUAGAACUCAAGUUUCUACUUUCCGCUACAAGUAUUGGGGACGGUCAAUUGUAAAGUAGCUUGUAAGUUAGAUUAGAUCUACUUUCAGUCAAAAUUAAUGUAACCCUUUUGUUUCCCUCACUUUGUCAGGAUUUGCACAGCUAGGCUACAGCAUGGAGCAAACAAAAGAAUUGCUUGUUCAGUGGAAAAAAGAUGGCUCCAAAAACCGUGGUAGUGUAUGGAGAUAUAUUCAAUGUCCCUGUAAUCCAAUAAAAGGGACAAAAGUCUUCAUGCCUUGGAAAGGCAGGAGAUGGGAGGGAGUUGUCCUGUCAGUGGAUGAUGAGUCUGAGGAAAGUGAUGAUGACAGCAUACCAGAUCAACCAAGGCUUGACGUUGGAGAUGUCGGUGUCGGUGUCAGAAUGACAGACCAUGGACCUCUACCAGAUCAACCAAGGCUUGACGUUGGAGAUGUCGGGUCACAAUGACAGACAUGCCUCAUUGAAGUUCAAAUGUGUCAACAUUUCAUAUGUUUACAUGAAGUGUUUAGUACAUGCUCCCAGUGUCUUGUUUCCCUGUGUGAACACCACUUCAAAGAGGACAACCCAUGUGCAAACCACAAUAACUAUGCUCAUCUACUUCAAAUUCCGGAGAGGUUUUCAGAAGAUCAUCCAGCGAUCGACACAGUUCUGGAAUUGAUGACGGUUGUUCCCUUAGCAAUCGAAGUGCAGGAGACAGUUGACAUAGUUUCAAGUUAUCCAAGCAGACAGUGAAGAGAGUGGCUUCUACACAGAGAUAUUGGAGAACGUCCUGAACAAAGUGAGGUAAAAGUCUGAAGCUUUAAAAUGGUUGCCUGUUACAAAUUCUGCCAAGGGAGUGGAGAAUUUUCUUUGAAAAAGAUAAAUGUAUUUUAGUUGUACCAGAAAAUGGCUGGUGUACAUCUCUUUAGACAGAGUAAAUGGAAUAAUUGCUCUGCUUCCCUCUGAUGGAGGGGUUCUGGGAUAAAUGACCAUGCAGACGUACUGCAAUUCUCUUCUUUCUCCUCCCAUCUCUCUUUCUCUCUCUCUCUCUUUCACUCCCUUAUUUCUUGAUGAUGGCUGGGUUUAAAGGUGGGGUAAGGGGAGAGAGUGAAUGUAUUGGUUCAUUAAAUCAAGGCAAGAGAGGAGAAGCAAAAGGAGAGAAGCAUGUCAGUCAGAUUGCAAGGUUACAGUCAUUUACAUUGACUUGCUGCAGUGUUGACUCCUUCAUCCUUCACCAGUACUUUUACUUUUAUAGAAUUUUGCACUCUGUACAGUUCAAAGCAUGAAUAUGUUAAACUAAUAUUUUGUCCACCACUUUUAUAUUUUUUAUUCUAAUACAGAAUAAGAGAGCCAGGAAACGUAUUGCAGAUCCCAACAGCUGCUAAAGUUUCACUUAUUGUCAUACUUUUUUGUAUCGCCUUUGAUAAUGCUGAAAUAUUUUUGAAGUAUUUUCUCUUUUGUUAACUUACUGCACAGUACGUUAACUGCAGAAUACACAAAGUUCUUUUAAGAGCUACCAUGUUGUACUUUCUGCCAUAAACGUGUGCUACAGUUUCACUUAUUGUCAUACUUUUUUUUUUAUAUCGCCUUUGAUAAUGCUGAAAUAUUGUUCAAGUAUUUUCUCGUAUGUUAACCUACUGCACAGUACGUUAACUGCAGAAUACACAAAGUUAUUUUAAGAGCUACCAUGUUGUAAUUUCUGCCAUGAACAUGUGCUACAGUUUCACUUAUUGUCAUACAAUUUUGUUUAUUUGCCUUUGAUAAUGCUGAUAUAUUGUUCAAGUAUUUUCUCUUUUGUAAACUUACUGCACAGUUUUUAAAACUAUGCUACAAAAGCUCACUAGAGCUAGAACAGAUUCAACGCAGAAUACAAAACUUUCUUUUGAGAGCUACCAUGUUGUUCUUUCUGCCAUGAGCAUGUGCUACAGAUAAGUUCCAAUUUUUAUAUUUAAUCAUGAUUCAUUAUGAUUGAUUAAUUUUGAAUGAUUGUACAUGGAAUUGUAAAAUGAACUGUACAAAAAGGAUUCCAGUUAUAUUGCAAAGAAAUAAAUUCAGUCAUUACCAUGACAGAAGUGUUCAUCUUAA
rnacentral:lncRNA from 1 species